AUGGGGCAUGGCUUUCUUUCUGGAACUCUCAGGGUCUCUGCACCCCCUCCUACCUCAACCACGUUCAGGCCUGGGAAUAGUGUUCUUUCUCACCGUCCUCAGGAAGGGGUGGGUGAGCUGAAUCUCUGUGCUUAUUGUGUGGCCCAAAGUGACAGCCAAUACCCAACUCAGGACACCGAACCCAAGCUCUCGGGGCUGCCUCGUGUGUUCUCCAGGCCCCUGGAGCUGAGGGACAGCCAGGCAGUGGAGCUGGGCAUUCUGCUGCGGACAGGAAGCCUGAGGCCCAAGAUGGCUCUGCAUCAGCUGCUAGCCACCCCGAGGCUCUGCAAACCUCCCUGGGCUCCUCUGUCUUUAGCUGCUGCCGCUUCCCCGGCUCCAGGUGGAGAAUCUGGAAGAGGAGGAGGCCAGCGGCUACAGACUGUUCCCGGCGCCCUGCUCCAGGCAGCCCUCCUGGAGCUACCCGUCUGGUUCCCACGCACCCCCAUCCCGGCAUUCACCACCCUGGUGACUGUCUGGGAGGCAGAAGGGACCAGCACAGGGUCAGGCAUCUGCUAGGUACUUGAGGAUUUGCUUUUAAUGAAUGAACGCGCCAAGAGGCUGAGAGGUGGAGGAAGAGCUGUGGGCCCCGGACAGGGCGGGAGGGUCCUAGUGUGUCAUUUCGCAGCGUGGGGGAGGGGGAAAGCCUGGGCCCAGGCCUCUCAAGCAGGCCUGGCCUUUUGGGAGCUGUGUACGUGGGAGGGCUGUGCCUUCGGGGUGGGGCCGUCUCCCAUUUUUCAUCCCCCCCCCCUCACUCCAGGGACUCAGGCCCACCUGGAUGUCCUCGGGUGCAAGGUGGCUCUGUCGGUCGGGAGGAGGCUCCAGCUUCUGGGAGGAGGGCAGGGCAGUCCUGGGAGAACAGAAUGAGGCUCCCAUGGGGGGGUUCUGUUCCCGUGAGCCCCACAGGGUGUCCCCCAGGGCUCUGCUCCCAGGCAGCCUCCUGAGUGGUCAGAGCUUGGGGUGGGGUUGCCCAGCACAGCUGGGUAGAGGCUGCAAGGGCCCCUCCUAGCUUCCUGGGUGUGUCCGCCCCCAGCCCAGCCUGUCUUUCCCUCCAGCCUGGAUAGGGGAGCCCUGUGCGUCUCAGGGGUCCUAGCUCAGAGGAGAGUGGGAAAUCCAGAGGCUGCACACGGGCUAGGACCAGGGUGAGCGGAGCAAGACCUACAAGUGCACAGCUUAUGGGGGACCAGAAAUCUCAGUCGUCACAAUAAAUACUAUUGUAACACAAUAUAAAUAAAACCCAAAUUAAUGCAAAAAUCCAUGAACCAAAUAUCAACAUGUUGAAAAAAAAAAAGGUAGGGUUGGGGUUACUGAAUUUUCCUUUCUCCUCUUGCUCCAGGAUAGCUUGCGUGGCACUCUUCCUGAGCGGCUUUCACUCAGUACGGCGAUAUUUCGUUCGUCAUGGACUUCUGCCCUCACCCCGUGUCAGCGGCUGGGGUAGACUUGUGUGAGGUCUUUAACCUGUGUGCCUGGUCUCCUGGUCUGUAAACCGUGGAGUCCAGCCACAAACCUCUUUCUCAGAGUGGCCGCG
rnacentral:lncRNA from 1 species